AGAGUUUGAUCAUGGCUCAGGAUGAACGCUGGCGGCGUGCUUAACACAUGCAAGUCGAACGAUGAUGGAGCUUGCUCCUGGAUUAGUGGCGAACGGGUGAGUAACACGUGAGUAACCUGCCCUUAACUCUGGGAUAAGCCUGGGAAACUGGGUCUAAUACCGGAUAUGACUCCUCAUCGCAUGGUGGGGGUGGAAAGCUUUAUUGUGGUUUUGGAUGGACUCGCGGCCUAUCAGCUUGUUGGUGAGGUAAUGGCUUACCAAGGCGACGACGGGUAGCCGGCCUGAGAGGGUGACCGGCCACACUGGGACUGAGACACGGCCCAGACUCCUACGGGAGGCAGCAGUGGGGAAUAUUGCACAAUGGGCGCAAGCCUGAUGCAGCGACGCCGCGUGAGGGAUGACGGCCUUCGGGUUGUAAACCUCUUUCAGUAGGGAAGAAGCGAAAGUGACGGUACCUGCAGAAGAAGCGCCGGCUAACUACGUGCCAGCAGCCGCGGUAAUACGUAGGGCGCAAGCGUUAUCCGGAGUUAUUGGGCGUAAAGAGCUCGUAGGCGGUUUGUCGCGUCUGCCGUGAAAGUCCGGGGCUCAACUCCGGAUCUGCGGUGGGUACGGGCAGACUAGAGUGAUGUAGGGGAGACUGGAAUUCCUGGUGUAGCGGUGAAAUGCGCAGAUAUCAGGAGGAACACCGAUGGCGAAGGCAGGUCUCUGGGCAUUAACUGACGCUGAGGAGCGAAAGCAUGGGGAGCGAACAGGAUUAGAUACCCUGGUAGUCCAUGCCGUAAACGUUGGGCACUAGGUGUGGGGGACAUUCCACGUUUUCCGCGCCGUAGCUAACGCAUUAAGUGCCCCGCCUGGGGGAGUACGGCCGCAAGGCUAAAACUCAAAGGAAUUGACGG
rnacentral:rRNA from 1 species